CGAGAGAGAGAUUCACCCAUAGACUGUAUUUAUAAUUCAGCUUUAUUUACAUCGUGUUCACUCAGUUCUCUGACAUUUACUAUGUUUCUGUGGUUAUCAGUCACUGGAGAAGGUUUUUACACCGACAUCUUUAUUAGGGCCCGAGCACAGUGUGAGGACCUUAUUGAUUUAGCUUUGUGUUCAUCGGGUUUAAGGACUGUUCUCCAGUAACAACAGACACAGAGGAGCUGAUAUCCGGUUUGUUCAAGGCUGAAGGACCGAAGCUUAAGUUUUUGAUGAUGACAUGAAACAACUGGACUUCAUCCAACGAUCAGAUGACUGGAAAGAAGACCUCAUGUAUGGAGCAGAAUAUUUGAUGCCAUUCUUCAGGAUGUUGAGGAGAGAGACUGGAUAUCAACAUCCUUAAUUCUUUAAUGAGAUGUGUCAAUAAACCACCUUCAGUUUCCUCUGAGAUAACAGACCAACAGAACUUUGAGUUUGAUUCUCUAUAUUCUCAGAUUCAGUUUCUUACCUUUUACUUAAUUUCUGCUGUUUUUAGAGGUGGUAGUAACAUUUUAAAAAUAUAACUUGCAAAUUAUUCAUCCAGAAGUAGUACUUCAGCAGUCACAACCUUCAAAUGUAAGUGUUUACCAAUGUGACAUGAAGAGUCCUCAAUUGUUAACAGCUGCAACUGUACAACCUGAAGUUCACCUGGAUUAAUUGUGACUUCUAUAACAAAUGUUUACUGCUGUUUAGUCUUUAAAAAUAUGUAUUAGAUAUACGUGAUUAAGUGUUUACUCAACCUCUGAUAUUUAUGAUUAAACCGUACCGAGUACAUUUUCCAUUGAC